AGACAUUAGGAGCAGGCAGUAUCUUUUCUUUUUCUUUUUCUUUCUUUCUUUUUUUUUUUUUUGACAGGAUGGGCUGGGGUUGGGGGAGGAGGAAGCAAGAAUCAAGCAGAGAAGGCGAGCUCCUUUCUGUUAAUCUAACUCAAACAACCCUGGUUACCAUCUGGUCGGCUGGACCAUGAGUGUUUCAAGGGCAAGGCCAUGUCUGAUUCAAUUCCACAUCCACAGUACGUAAAGCAACGUCUGGCAGAGCAAAGAACUCAUCCAUCAAUUGAAUGACAUCAUGGCCAAUCUACGAGUUCUGGCUUACUUGUCAUGCUAUUAUCACAUCUGCCAAGACCCAAGUGACCACCUGGUAAUUACUUCAACAGCAGAGCGACUCAUACAGCCAGCAGUCCACUUUGUUCUUCUAUAGAUCCUGCCUGUGGUGUUGGAUCUAACAGCUUCUUCCCUGACCCAAGAUUAUGAAGGAUUUCUCCUGUGUUCUCUUCUAAAAAUUUUAUAUUUAGGUAUAUAAUCCAUUUUGAGCUAAUUCUUUUAAAUAGUGCAAAGUAUGGAUUGAAGUUCUUUUUUUUUUUUUUUUGCAGAUACAUAUUUAAUUUUUCCAGCACCAUUUGUUGAAAAGACUAAUGUUCUUGCCUGAAUAGCCUUUGCAUUGUUGUUGAAAAUCAUGUUCACACAUGUACACAUUCCACUGAUCUAUUUGCCUCUUUGUGAAAAUACUACUAUUUUGAUUAAUAUAGAUUUAUAGGGAGUCUUAAAAUCAUAUCUUAAAAAGACAGUGGAAGUUAUUUAACCUUACUCUUGCUUUUAGAAAUUGUUUUGGAUAUUCUAGAUCCUUUGUGUUUCCAUAUAAAUUUUAUAAUCAGUUUGGCAAUUUAUUUAAAAUAUUCUUCUGGGAUUUUGAUGGACAUUACACUGAAUCGAUGGAUCGCUUUGGGGACAACUGACAUCUUGACAAUAUUGAGUCAUCUAACAUAUGAUCAUGGAAAUUGCUCCAUUUAUUUAGAUCUUCUUUCACAUCUUGAAGCAGUGUUUUGCGUUUUCAGUGUAUAGGUAUUUAAUAGAUUUAAAAAUAUGAUCCCUAAAUAUUCAAUGUUUUUGAUGCUAUUGGAAUUUUAAAAAAUUAAUUUCUGUUCUGAGGAAGGAAAAUAAUAAAAGAUUAAACAGGAAAAAUAAAAAUAAUCAAAACAAAAGAUAAAUCAUUGACAAA
rnacentral:lncRNA from 1 species